rnacentral:rRNA from 1 species
AUGGUGAAGCGCAGCCCGCUGCCGCCCCCGCCGUUGGAGAUGAGGCCGUGGAGGCUCCUGCUCCGCCCGGCGUCCUCGGACGAGGGGGACGACACGGGGGAAGGGGACGCCGGGGUGGCGUUCCCCCUGGGCUUGAUCUUGAUUAUGGGGUUGGGGCUGGCGUCGGGCACCCCGCCGCCGGCGAGGUCGUGGAGGAGCGGGAAGAAGGGCCACUUGGGGCCCUUGGAGCGCCCCAUGGAGCGCGUGCGCUCGGCGCGGUACCGCUUCCGGAGCUUCUCGAUCUUGUGGCGGCACUGGACGCCGGAUUUGUAGGUGGCGGUGGGGAACCUCCCGCAGCGGGCGGUGACGGCGCCGGCGACCUCGUCCCAGUCCGCCGCCCGCAGGUUGCCCUUCUUGAGCGCCUCCCACUUGUCGCGGUACGCCUCGAUGAGCGCGAGGGUCUCCUCGUGCGUCCAGCACGGCGGGGGCAGCCUCCUCCCGGAGCCGCCGCCCGCCCCCACCCCGCCCCCUCCGCCCCCGGACGAGGCCGCGGCCGCGGCCGCGGCGGCCGCCGCCGCGAUGCCGGGCGCGGCCAGCGGGGGGAGCUCCGGGGAGGAAGGGACGUCGUCCUGCUUGAGAGACGAGGAGGAGGACAUGGUCGCAGCACGG